CCUACGGGCGGCUGCAGUGGGGGAUAUUGCACAAUGGGGGAAACCCUGAUGCAGCGACGCCGCGUGGGUGAAGAAGCGCCUCGGCGCGUAAAGCCCUGUCAGCAGGGAAGAAAAUGACGGUACCUGAAGAAGAAGCCCCGGCUAACUACGUGCCAGCAGCCGCGGUAAUACGUAGGGGGCAAGCGUUAUCCGGAUUUACUGGGUGUAAAGGGGGCGCAGACGGGGAUGCAAGCCAGGAGUGAAAGCCCGGGGCCCAACCGCGGGACUGCUCUUGGAACUGCGUGGCGAGAGUGCAGGAGGGGCAGGCGGAAUUCGUGGUGUAGCGGUGAAAUGCGUAGAUAUCAGGAGGAACACCGGUGGCGAAGGCGGCCUGCUGGACUGCAACUGACGUUGAGGCUCGAAAGCGUGGGGAGCAAACAGGAUUAGAUACCCUUGUAGUC
rnacentral:rRNA from 1 species